CCCAGUAUUCAACUACCUCUCCUGACAGUGCUGGCAGGAUGCUGCUCCCACCACAGGUCAUCCUGGUGGCCUCCCUGUGGAGCUAUACAAAUGCAGACAUUUUAAUAACACAACUCAUACCAUCCAUUACCAAGAAACAAGGAAACACAGCAUUUUUAGAAUGCCAAAUAAAAACAAGUGGCUUAAGGAAUAAUGUAUAUAUUCACUGGUACCGACAGAAGCCAGACCAGCCUCUAAAACGAAUUCUGUAUAUCUCCUCAAAUGAAAAUGUGGUCCAUGAACAAGGUGUUAGUGAGGAAAGAUAUGAAGCCAGGAAACGGCAAAAUGAUUUGCUAGCGAGUCUCAGGAUACACCAAGUUAAUGAGGAAGAUGCUGGGCUGUAUUACUGUGCCUGCUGGGAUACACUAACCUCUAACCAGUGUGAUAACUCAGGCUGGAUCAAGAUAUUUGCACAAGGAACUAAGCUCAUAGUAACUCCCCCAGAUAGAAGCCUUGAUGCAGACAUUUCUCCCAAGCCCACAAUUUUCCUUCCUUCAAUUGCUGAAAGAAGACUUCAUAAGGCUGGAACAUAUCUUUGUCUCCUUGAGGACUUUUUCCCUGAUGUUAUUAAGAUAGAUUGGAAAGAAAGGGAUGACGAAACAAUUCUGAAAUCACAGCAGGGAGACACCAUGAAGACUAAUAACACAUACAUGAAAUUCAGCUGGCUGACCGUGACUGGAGCAUCAGUGGAUAAAGAACACAAAUGUAUUGUCAAACACGAGCGGAAUAAAGGAGGAGUUGAUCAAGAGAUUCUAUUUCCUUCACAGAAAAAAGAGCUUGCUGCUAUAAACUCCACAAAACCUUCUGUGAGAUAUAAAGAUGAUACCCUGCAGCUGCAGCUCAUGAACACCUCUUCCUACUACACCUACCUCCUCCUCCUCCUCAAGAGCCUGGUCUAUUCCAGCAUCAUCGCCAUCUGUCUGCUUGGGAGACCAGCAUUCUGUGGCAAUGGGAAGAGUUCCUAACAUAUGGUGGCACCAAGGGUCCACUUGUCUCCAUUGUUUAUUGUCCCUAAAAUCGUCUGCUGUGCAUCUAGUGGGACUUUCUCUCUAAGUUUGGUAUAUUUCAGUUCAAAUGUGUUUUUUUCUCUUGUGUCAUUCUUGCAGAACAGGUUAACAAACCACUGGGUAAACAGAAACUUUCACUCCACAACAAGAACAAAUUCUGCCAUGACUCAGGGGUGGGGCCAGGGGACCAUCCACAGGGGCUUCAGGACCACUCCCUCCUUAAUGUCCACCAGCUCCUCAGCCACCUGGUACUCAUGUCUCUGAGCACAGCCAACACAAAGCUUCCAGUUGCAUCUCUUGGGGCUCUUUAACCAGAUAAUUGCUUCGAAACCAUUUAUUUUACACAUCUGGACUCCCAUCUUUGCUACCUUAGUAUUGUACUGCUUUAUCAUAAUAGGCACAAUAAAAACAAUCAAAAGUGUA